GAAGCGCCGCUGUAGAGGAUAAUUUUUUAUUUAUUUUUUAUUUUUUUUUACAUCAAAAGCCCUACUCGGACUGUAAUUGUUUCUCAGGGGGACGUCCACUCAUUUCUGCAUGCGGCCAGAAUGAGAAUAACUACAGUAUUUCUUAUCUAAGCCUUUGCAGGCCAACUCAAUGUGACACAUUCUAUGAAUUACUGGAAGUCUGAUUGUUUUUAAUCAAUCUCUUCUUGACUUCUAUUCAGUCAAAUUCUAUUUCUCAAUCUUUAAAGCCAUACUACUAGAAUUUUUCAUUUAAUGUUAACAAUCAUUAUUUAAAGAAAUGCCUUACCCUAAGAUUUUUGCAUGAAUUUUUUUCUUUUACAUGAACCAUUCCAUUAAUGAUUUUAUUCAUACUCGUCUCCAUUUUGCAUGUCAUAUAUUCCUUUAAUUCCAC
ensembl:lncRNA